AUUGAUAUGAGAGAAAGAAGGUUCAUGCCAUAUCUUAUUGUCUGGGGCUCAGAUUGGUGUAUAAAUUCUGACCGUGGCCAAUAUGAUACGGGGUGAGCUUCAAUAGCACAAGUAGACUAU
rnacentral:precursor_RNA from 12 species